GACGAACGCUGGCGGCGUGCCUAACACAUGCAAGUCGAACGGAGAUAUUUAUUUCGGUAGAUAUCUUAGUGGCGCACGGGUGAGUAACGCGUGAAUAACCUGACCCGAAGAGGGGGAUAACACCUGGAAACAAGUGCUAAUACCGCAUAAGACCACGGACCGGCAUCGGUCAGAGGUCAAAGGAGGAAUCCGCUUUGGGAGGGGUUCGCGUCCCAUUAGGUAGUUGGUGAGGUAACGGCCCACCAAGCCGACGAUGGGUAGCCGAGCUGAGAGGCUGAUCGGCCACACUGGAACUGAGACACGGUCCAGACUCCUACGGGAGGCAGCAGUGGGGAAUAUUGGGCAAUGGGCGCAAGCCUGACCCAGCAACGCCGCGUGAGGGGAAGAAGGUUUUCGGAUUGUAAACCUCUGUCGCAGGGGACGAAGGAAGUGACGGUACCCUGUAAGAAAGCCCCGGCUAACUACGUGCCAGCAGCCGCGGUAAUACGUAGGGGGCGAGCGUUGUCCGGAAUUACUGGGCGUAAAGGGAGCGUAGGCGGUCGAUUAAGUUAGAUGUGAAACCCCCGGGCUUAACUUGGGGACUGCAUCUAAUACUGGUUGACUUAGAGUACAGGAGAGGGAAGCGGAAUUCCUAGUGUAGCGGUGAAAUGCGUAGAUAUUAGGAGGAACACCAGUGGCGAAGGCGGCUUUCUGGACUGACACUGACGCUGAGGCUCGAAAGCGUGGGGAGCAAUC
rnacentral:rRNA from 1 species